ensembl:lncRNA
GCUACAUGUGGGGCUGUGGUAUUUAUAUAUCAUAGAAGGAAGAGAGAAAAUAAAAGCUUAACAAGAAGGGUGUGAUGAGACUGGUCUGAAUGGCUCAUGGCCAUAUUAAUAAUGGUGACGGUGCUUAUGGAACAGACUGAACCAGACAGGACUGCCAAAUGACCCGUUCUCCUUCUGGACCAACUGACCACAGUGCCACCUCUCUAUUACUGCUGUGCUACACCACCUCACUACUGCAGAGACUGCUGCCCUGAGAUGCCAGAGUGGGGACCUGCAUACCAUGAUAAGAACAACACUUGCUGGAUGAGGAUGUUAUAACUCGAUCAUGUCUUAUCAAAACACAUAUUGUUUGUGGUAUUUCAGCACCUGACUUUCCUCAUGAAGAAGAUAAUGCUCUUUCUGAAGGAGCCACACUGGACUACUGGAGGAUGGGGAGGCCAGGACACACAAGACUGUGCCGUCCCAAGUCCAUGUU